CCUACGGGAGGCAGCAGUAAGGAAUUUUCGUCAAUGGGGGAAACCCUGAACGAGCAACGCCGCGUGGAGGAUGACGGUCUUCGGAUUGUAAACUCCUUUUAUGAGGGACGAUAAUGACGGUACCUCAGGAAUAAGCCCCGGCUAACUCUGUGCCAGCAGCCGCGGUAAUACAGAGGGGGCAAGCGUUGUCCGGAAUUACUGGGCGUAAAGAGCACGUAGGCGGUCGCGCAAGUGGUGUGUGAAACCAAUCAGCUUAACUGAUUGACGCCAUGCCAAACUGCGCGACUCGAGUCAUGGAGAGGUUAUUCGAAUUGCUGGUGUAGUGGUGAAAUGCGUAGAGAUCAGCAGGAAGACCAAGGGCGAAAGCAGAUAACUGGCCAUGCACUGACGCUCAGGUGCGAAAGCGUGGGGAGCAAACUGGAUUAGAUACCCAGGUAGUCCACGCUGUAAACGAUGUAUGCUCGGUAUGUGUGCCUGUUAAGGGCAUGGGUACCUUAGGAAACCCGGUAAGCAUACCGCCUGGGAAGUACGAACGCAAGUUUAAAACUCAAAGGAAUUGACGG
rnacentral:rRNA from 1 species